rnacentral:lncRNA from 1 species
UGCAACACAGUCUCUGUCCUUUUCAUUCUAAUGGGAGAUGCAAAGCACUAUGGCAGGGGCAGGCAGAGGGCAAGAAUGAGUAAUACACAAAGUCAGUAAAGCUGAUCUUUGGGCCAAGGUUGUAACAUGGUCAGUCCCAGGUUGGAGACAACUAAUCUCAUUGUAAGACAGCUCUCAAUAUUUAAACAAAGCUAAAGUCUGCAUUAGAGCUCAAUGACAGGGCCUUGCUUUUUUUCCAGGCUGGAAUGCAGUGGCAUGAUCACGGCUCAUGCAACCUCCACCUCUCAGGGUCAAGCCAUCCUCCCAACUCAGCCUCCCGAGUAGCUGGGACUACAGGUGUGCACCACCACACUUGAUUAAUUUUUUGAUUUUUUGUAGUGACAAGGUCUCACUAUAUUGCCCAGGCCAGUCUCGAACUCCUGGGAUCAAGUGAUC